UAAGGAAUAUUGGACAAUGGUCGCAAGACUGAUCCAGCCAUGCCGCGUGCAGGAUGACUGCCCUAUGGGUUGUAAACUGCUUUUGUACGGGAAUAAACCCGGGUACGUGUACCCGGCUGAAUGUACCGUAAGAAUAAGGGUCGGCUAACUUCGUGCCAGCAGCCGCGGUAAGACGAAGGACCCAAGCGUUAUCCGGAUUCAUUGGGUUUAAAGGGUGCGUAGGCGGGUUGAUAAGUCAGUGGUGAAAGCCCAACGCUUAACGUUGGAACUGCCAUUGAUACUGUCGAUCUUGAAUGUGUUUGAUGUGGGCGGAAUAUGACAUGUAGCGGUGAAAUGCUUAGAUAUGUCAUAGAACACCGAUUGCGAAGGCAGCUCACAAAGCCACUAUUGACGCUGAGGCACGAAAGCGUGGGGAUCAAACAG
rnacentral:rRNA from 1 species